UAGGGAAUCUUCGGCAAUGGGGGCAACCCUGACCGAGCAACGCCGCGUGAGUGAAGAAGGUUUUCGGAUCGUAAAGCUCUGUUGUAAGAGAAGAACGUGUGUGAGAGUGGAAAGUUCACACAGUGACGGUAACUUACCAGAAAGGGACGGCUAACUACGUGCCAGCAGCCGCGGUAAUACGUAGGUGGCAAGCGUUGUCCGGAAUUACUGGGUGUAAAGGGAGCGCAGGCGGGAAAUCAAGUUGGAUGUGAAAUGUCGGGGCUUAACCCCGGAACUGCAUCCAAAACUGAUAUUCUUGAGUGAAGUAGAGGUAGGCGGAAUUCCGAGUGUAGCGGUGAAAUGCGUAGAUAUUCGGAGGAACACCAGUGGCGAAGGCGGCCUACUGGGCUUUAACUGACGCUGAGGCUCGAAAGUGUGGGGAGCAAACAGGAUUAGAUACCCUGGUAGU
rnacentral:rRNA from 1 species